GUAGUCAUAUGCUUGUCUCAAAGAUUAAGCCAUGCAUGUGUAAGUAUGAACUAAUUCAGACUGUGAAACUGCGAAUGGCUCAUUAAAUCAGUUAUAGUUUGUUUGAUGGUACUUGCUACUCGGAUAACCGUAGUAACAAUAAAUAACAAUACUGGGCUCAAUGAGUCUGGUAAUUGGAAUGAGUACAAUCUAAAUCCCUUAAUGAGGAUCCAUUGGAGGGCAAGUCUGGUGCCAGCAGCC
rnacentral:rRNA from 1 species